CGGCGGUGGCGCCCGGAGCCCGAGAGUUUCCAGGAUGGCUUCUGCAUCAACUUCUAAAUAUAAUUCACACUCCUUGGAGAAUGAGUCUAUUAAGAGGACGUCUCGAGAUGGAGUCAAUCGGGAUCUCACUGAGGCUGUUCCUCGACUUCCAGGAGAAACACUAAUCACUGGAUUCUGCUCUAAUACUUGAUGUUCCUCUGGGUGUGAUCUCGAGAAUUGAAAAAAUGGGAGGCGCGACAAGUAGAGGAGAAAAUUCCUAUGGUCUAGAUAUUACUUGUAAAGACAUGAGAAACCUGAGGUUCGCUUUGAAACAGGAAGGCCACAGCAGAAGAGAUAUGUUUGAGAUCCUCACGAGAUACGCGUUUCCCCUGGCUCACAGUCUUCCAUUAUUUGCAUUUUUAAAUGAAGAAAAGUUUAAUGUGGAUGGAUGGACAGUUUACAAUCCAGUGGAAGAAUACAGGAGGCAGGGCUUGCCCAAUCACCAUUGGAGAAUAACUUUUAUUAAUAAGUGCUAUGAGCUCUGUGACACUUACCCUGCUCUUUUGGUGGUUCCGUAUCGUGCCUCAGAUGAUGACCUCCGGAGAGUUGCAACUUUUAGGUCCCGAAAUCGAAUUCCAGUGCUGUCAUGGAUUCAUCCAGAAAAUAAGACAGUCAUUGUGCGUUGCAGUCAGCCUCUUGUCGGUAUGAGUGGGAAACGAAAUAAAGAUGAUGAGAAAUAUCUCGAUGUUAUCAGGGAGACUAAUAAACAAAUUUCUAAACUCACCAUUUAUGAUGCAAGACCCAGCGUAAAUGCAGUGGCCAACAAG
rnacentral:sRNA from 1 species